rnacentral:pre_miRNA from 1 species
AGGGAUUUGACAGAAGAGAGGGAGCACAGGCAGGGAAAUUGUAUAGAGAUUAGUGUUUUAUACGUUUAUGCGUGUGAUCCCUUCCCUUCUGUCAGCUAAUUCCA